ACGGCUCAGUAACACGUGGACAACCUACCCUUGGGUCCGGCAUAAUCCUGGGAAACUGGGAAUAAUUCCGGAUAGGUCACCGAUGCUGGAAUGCGCGGUGGCCGAAAGCUCCGGCGCCCGAGGAUGGGUCUGCGGCCUAUCAGGGUUGUAGUGGGUGUAACGUACCUACUAGCCUACGACGGGUACGGGUUGUGAGAGCAAGAGCCCGGAGAUGGAUUCUGAGACACGAAUCCAGGCCCUACGGGGUGCAGCAGGCGCGAAAACUUUACAAUGCGGGAAACCGUGAUAAGGGGAUCUCGAGUGCCAGCAUAUAAUGUUGGCUGUCCAGAUGCCUAAAAAGCAUCUGUUAGCAAGGGCCGGGCAAGACCGGUGCCAGCCGCCGCGGUAACACCGGCGGCCCGAGUGGUAACCGCUAUUAUUGGGUCUAAAGGGUCUGUAGCCGGCCAGGUAAGCCCCUUGGGAAAUCUGGCAGCUCAACUGUCAGGCUGCUAGGGGAUACUGUUUGGCUUGGGACCGGGAGAGGUGAGAGGUACCUUGGGGGUAGGGGUGAAAUCUUGUGAUCCUCGAGGGACCACCAGUGGCGAAGGCGUCUCACCAGAACGGGUCCGACGGUAAGGGACGAAAGCUAGGGGCACGAACCGGAUUAGAUACCCGGGUAGUCCUAGCCGUAAACGAUGCUCGCUAGGUGUCAGUCACGGUGCGACCGUGAUUGGUGCCGUANGGAAGCCGUGAAGCGAGCCACCUGGGAAGUAUGGCCGCAAGGCUGAAACUUAAAGGAAUUGGCGGGGGAGCACUACAACGGGUGGAGCCUGCGGUUUAAUUGGAUUCAACGCCGGA
rnacentral:rRNA from 1 species